UUAAGUACAGUAUCAAUAUAUUUUGAUAAUUCUUUUUUUUAGUUAUAGCUACUAAAAUAGCAGUUUCAAAAAAGUAGCAGUAGUUUCAGAAAAGUAGCAAUUUCAGCAUCUUUUUAAACUAUUUCUUAAAUUGUUUUUUCUGUUUGGUUUUUAACAACGCUAAAAUAUUACUUAAAAUGCAUAAAUUUUCUCUAAAAGUUUUAGAGGAAAAUUAUGCAUUUUAAGUCGUAGCUACUUUUUAAAUAACUAAAUAAAAUUAUUAUUUUUUGUUUAUUUUAAGACCUAACAUCUAUUUGUUUAUGAUAGAUGUUAUAUUGAUCGAAUAGCAAUGUUAUAUUUAUACUUUUAGUGCAGUCAGUGCCAAUUAAAAAUUGUGAGGUUGAAAUAUUUAUAUAAUGGAUCUUCAGUUUUAGUGAAGGCUUUUAAUGUAAACUAAAAAAUAUUUUUAAAAAUUUAAGUAGUAUUCAUACUCCUAUAUGAUAACCACUAAAGAGAAAAUAAAUUUACUUAUGUCUGAUAUGAUUAUUAUAUUGUAUCAUUUAUUUUCUCUUUAGUAGAAAAGUUAACAUAUUUUGAACAAUAAUAUAUAUAGCUAUAUUACAUAAUUUUAUGAAAUCCGCAUAAAUAUAUUUUUUAUUGUUAAGUUUUGUGUGUUUAAUUUCAUUUAAUAUUUUAUAUACAGUCCAGUCAGUUGCAACAACAAUUAAAGCAGCAGGAAACAGCCAAGUACACAUGCAAGUGAUUGUUAUGAGGAUUGCAAAACUUUUAAAUAUCAGAAACUGAAGAAAGCAUUCAUAAUCAGCAGAUAUCAAAAAAGCGCAAAAGUACUGAUUUUACAACUCUUUUAAAGUUGAGGAAGAAUUUUAUGUUAAUGUUAAUGCAAAAGGUACGAAUAUUGACAGAUUAUGGAUGUGGUACUGCAAGUAUAUUCAAUUGAUUAUGCAAGUAAGUUGUCCUACUUUACAUCUUUGAAGACUAAUAAUAAUUGUAAUGAACAUAUCUCAGACAAUAUACACUCGGAUUUAUAUUUUAGUUAAACCAUCACCACUUCCACAGCCACCUUGUCUCAAGCAUUAAAUCGCAUUCUAAGAUAUCUUUAUUCAAAUUAAGUGUGACUACUUUACCAAAAGACUCUAGAAUGGACCAAUCAA